rnacentral:lncRNA from 1 species
CACGUUCUAAUGUGCGCCCAGGCUUAAGAACACGAACCAAGCUGGUAUAUCGACGACAAUUGCUCCAGUGAAGGAGGUCACAAGCAUCGGGAGGAAGUAGAGUGGUGAAGAAGGUACAAUUCAAUUGAACAGUACGAAUUGUUUCACAGAGAGAAGAGUUAGGUCGAGGGAAUCGAGUGACACCAAAAAAUCCACCUAAAGUGCGAGCACAGAAAUAGAAGAAACAAAAUCAUCUUGAGUAGAUGAAAUAGAGAAAGAGGAAGAGAUGUUAGGGAAACCACCAGGUGCAGGAGUGGAUGAGAAAACUAAGUUACUAGUUGAAAGCUCGAUAUGAGAGAAGUUUGAUAUAGUAAAAAUUGUAAUCGCAACUUCAAUUAGAGUAUGUGAAUUAUGAACACAUUGGGGAUCAACUGGUAGGGAGAAUUGAGCUAAAGGAUAUCAGUUCAAAAGUGGAAUAGUGGUGAAAUGCGAUCGUGUGUUAUGUUAUAGGUGCUCACCUAUCAUUCACAAUAUUGAAUGGAUUUAUUCAGCGAAUUUUGGGGCGACAUGGCAUUAAUAAAAUUGCGAUGAUGAAAAAUGAAAUUAUGAUGGUACGUUUGAUAGUGAAAAGGGGAAAAUAGAUGUACUGCAUAGAGACAUUUACCAUUUUGACAAUAAGCCUCUUAUUGUCUAGGAAUAGAUGCUUGAAAUGGAGUUUUCGAAAGAGGAAUUGCUCACAGUCCCAAUUUCGAUUACACUUCCAGGUUUGGAUUUGAAAUACCGGACUGCUCGUGGUUUAAGUAACAUUGGAAGUUUAGUGGGAAAACAAUUAAUGGGGGAUAACCAUACAAAGAAAAAGCUUGAUCUGAGCUUUGCAUUGUUGUUGGUGAAGUACAGGUGGGAAAUAAGCUGCCGUAUGAGGUGUUGUCUCGAAAUGAGAAGGGAGCAGUGAUCAACUAAAAGGUAAACUCUGAUCGGAAGCCUUCAAUAUGUGAUCGAUCACUAAAAGAAAUAUGGUAAUCAGAGAGAGGAAUGUACAAAGCUGAAUCCAGGGGUGAGGAUUAAGAUGAUCAGAGGAGAAGUUGAAAAACCUCAUAGAGGAAGAGAAUUGUAGUGAAACUGGCAGAUUAAUAAAACAAAAGUUGUUGUGCAGGUAGAAAAGCUUAAUAGAGACAUAAUUCAUACUGCAAAUGCAUUUAAUACAUGAGAUUUAGGAAGUGAUGGAAAAAUGAAGGAGAUGAAAUAGUGGAGGGGAAUGGAAAGAUCAUAGGGCUUGAUCUUGUGGUUAACAUAUUGUGCUGGAAUACAAAGGGCCUAAAUGGUCCCUCAAAGCAGAAGAAAGCUCUCUUUCCUUGCAAUCAGCUUGGUGUUAAUUUCAUUGGUUUUUUUGGAGACAACUAAAAGUAAUACUAAUAUAUAAAAUAUAGAAAAUACAAUAUUUGAAGGGUGGAAACAUCAUAAUAACCAUAAUGCUCAUUAUAAUGAAAGAAUAAGGGUUAUAUGGAGGGAUGAUAUGCGUAGAGUUAGUGUGUGUAGUGAAAAUGCUCGAGCAGAAACACGCUUGGUGGAGCAGAUCUUCUUACAAUAAUCUUAUUAUGUUACUUUUGUGUAUGCUUAUAAUGGAAGGGAGGAGAUGAAAGAACUAUGGACGUAUCUUUAUCAUGUUAAAAGUGGUCUGAAUAGACCUUGGCUUGCGCUUGGAGAUUUCAACUCAGUAUUACACAGUGAUGACAGAGUAUGAGGAGCACCUGUUAUCCUGCUUGAAGUGGUUGUCUUUCAAAAAUGUGUGGAUACCCGUGAACUUGUAGAAAUGGAGAGAAACAAAAGUAUGUAAACAUGGAAUAAUAAUAGGAAGACUAGCAAAAUAUUCUCAAAGAUAGACUGGUCAUUUGUAAAUGGGGAAUAGAUGAAUGAGAUGCCAAAAUGGAGAACUUAUUUUCUUCAUGAGGGAGGGAGUGAUCACAGUCCAUUACAUGUUCAGUUGUUAGAAUAAUUACUAUGCAUAGGAGCGCUAAUAAAUACUGCAACAUGUGGAGCACACAGUCCCAGUCUAAGAAAAUAGUAAGAAGGGAGUGGCAGAAGGAAGUAUCUGGCUGCUUAAUGUAUCAAAUAACCUGGAAACUGAAGAAUCUUAAGAAAUCUUUAAGGGUGUAAAUUUAACAAACUAAGAAGGAAAUUACGGGCUACACAAAAUGUUUUACAACUUGAUCCUUUGAAUAAAGUAUUGCAGGAGAAGGAGAAAUUAGCUACAAGUGAGUAUGAAAGAGAAAGAUGCCUGACUAAAAUGUUAUUGGUUCAAAGAAGGAAAGUUACUUGGAUCAAGUAGGAAGAUGAUAAUACAAGAUAUUUCUAUUUAAUCUUGAAGCAAAAGUGGAUGGUAACUGAGCUAAAGGAUGAUCAAAUGCAGGAACAGACAGAUCAAACUAAGAUUGUAGUGAUUUUUAUGCAGUACUACACUAACCUUUUAGGGACAGCAGGAGAUUAGUGAUGAGUGGUAAACUUGUCACUCAUUUAUUGCACACUAUGGAGAUUAAAUUGCAGAUAUGAGACUAAUCCUUCAUUGAAUUGCACUAAUUUCCAGUGUUUUGAUCCUACAGGGAAAUCUAAUGGAAAUGAGUUGAGACAAAGCUGGAAUGAAAGAAAAGUGACCAGAGUUGGAACGAGCGUUGAAAAUACAGCUCAAAAUCAGGCCUCAGUUAUCGCUAUCGCGACGUGCAGUGUGCGAUCGCGAUCAGUCAACAAGUCAAAAGGAUGCGAUCCCAACCCAACUCCCUGCUAUCACGGGAAGUCCAUGCAGACCAGAGUAGUGUGAUUGCAAGCCAAAGUAUUGCGAUAGCAGAGUCGCGAUCACAACUAAAGGUCGCGAUCGCAGGCGUCGGGUAGAAUUACAAGGGCAAGGCUGGAAUUUCACAAGGCCCAGUCCUAAGAUAUAAAAGGCUAGCCCAAUCCCAAGAUAUAAAAGGCUAAACCCUUUACGUUUCUAGCAUCCAAUUUCUGAAUUUUCGGAGCUUAGAACAAUAUUGUAGAGUAAAAAUACAAUUUGUAAGGGUUUUCAAGAGAGAUUUUGGCUUUGAAUUGAAAUUGAAGUUCUGGAUUAUACUUAUUUUGCUUAUGAUAGAUGAAUUGAAUGCAAAUUUGGGUAUAUUUCC